rnacentral:rRNA from 1 species
UACGAGAGGUCCAAACGUUAUUCGGAAUCACUGGGCUUACAGAGUUCGUAGGCGGUCCAGAAAGUGGGGUGUGAAGGCCCUCGGCUUAACCGAGGAACUGCGCUCCAAACUACUGGGCUAGAGGAAGAUAGAGGUGAGCAGAACUGAUGGUGGAGCGGUGAAAUGCGUUGAUAUCAUCAGGAAUACCGGAGGCGAAGGCGGCUCACUGGGUCUUUUCUGACGCUGAGGAACGAAAGCUAGGGGAGCAAACGGG